ACGCUCGACACCUACGGGAGUCAGCAGUGGGGAAUAUUGCACAAUGGGGGAAACCCUGAUGCAGCAACGCCGCGUGAAGGAAGACGGUUUUCGGAUUGUAAACUUCUGUUCUUAGUGAAGAUAGUGACGGUAGCUAAGGAGCAAGCCACGGCUAACUACGUCNCNAGCGCGGUAUNUGNGCGGCGUGNGAG
rnacentral:rRNA from 1 species